UGGUCCCACCUGACCCCAUGCCGAACUCAGAAGUGAAACGCCGUAGCGCCGAUGGUAGUGUGGGGUCUCCCCAUGCGAGAGUAGGGAACUGCCAGGC
rnacentral:rRNA from 33 species